rnacentral:misc_RNA from 1 species
GAUGAAGAACGUAGCGAAAUGCGAUAAGUAAUGUGAAUUGCAGAAUCCAGUGAAUCAUCGAAUCUUUGUACGCACAUUGCGCCCGCCAGCAUUCUGGCGGGCAUGCCUGUUCGAGCGUCAUUUCAACCCUCGACCUCCCUUUGGGGAAGUCGGCGUUGGGGACCGGCAGCACACCGCCGGCCCUGAAAUGGAGUGGCGGCCCGUCCGCGGCGACCUCUGCGUAGUAAUCCAACUCGCACCGGAACCCCGACGCGGCCACGCCGUAAAACACCCAACUUCUGAACGUUGACCUCGAAUCAGGUAGGACUACCCGCUGAACUUAAGCAUAUCAAUAAGCGGAGGA